AUCCUGUAGUCGAAAAUGUUGUCUCUCUUGAGUGGAUCCUGAGUACGACGGAGCACGUGAAAUUCCGUCGGAAUUUGGGAGGACCAUCUCCUAAGGCUAAAUACUCUCUAGUGACCGAUAGCGAACCAGUACCGUGAGGGAAAGGUGAAAAGCACCCCGGAAGGGGAGUGAAAUAGAACCUGAAACCGUGUGCUUACAAGUAGUCAGAGCCCGUUAAUGGGUGAUGGCGUGCCUUUUGUAGAAUGAACCGGCGAGUUACGAUUUGAUGCAAGGUUAAGCAGUAAAUGUGGAGCCGUAGCGAAAGCGAGUCUGAAUAGGGCGUUUAGUAUUUGGUCGUAGACCCGAAACCAGGUGAUCUACCCUUGGUCAGGUUGAAGUUCAGGUAACACUGAAUGGAGGACCGAACCGACUUACGUUGAAAAGUGAGCGGAUGAACUGAGGGUAGCGGAGAAAUUCCAAUCGAACCUGGAGAUAGCUGGUUCUCUCCGAAAUAGCUUUAGGGCUAGCCUCAAGUGAUGAUUAUUGGAGGUAGAGCACUGUUUGGACGAGGGGCCCCUCUCGGGUUACCGAAUUCAGACAAACUCCGAAUGCCAAUUAAUUUAACUUGGGAGUCAGAACAUGGGUGAUAAGGUCCGUGUUCGAAAGGGAAACAGCCCAGACCACCAGCUAAGGUCCCAAAAUAUAUGUUAAGUGGAAAAGGAUGUGGCGUUGCCCAGACAACUAGGAUGUUGGCUUAGAAGCAGCCAUCAUUUAAAGAGUGCGUAAUAGCUCACUAGUCGAGUGACACUGCGCCGAAAAUGUACCGGGGCUAAACAUAUUACCGAAGCUGUGGAUUGUCCUUUGGACAAUGGUAGGAGAGCGUUCUAAGGGCGUUGAAGCAUGAUCGUAAGGACAUGUGGAGCGCUUAGAAGUGAGAAUGCCGGUGUGAGUAGCGAAAGACGGGUGAGAAUCCCGUCCACCGAUUGACUAAGGUUUCCAGAGGAAGGCUCGUCCGCUCUGGGUUAGUCGGGUCCUAAGCUGAGGCCGACAGGCGUAGGCGAUGGAUAACAGGUUGAUAUUCCUGUACCACCUAUAAUCGUUUUAAUCGA
rnacentral:rRNA from 1 species